rnacentral:rRNA from 1 species
UACGUAGGGGGCUAGCGUUAUCCGGAUUUACUGGGCGUAAAGGGUGCGUAGGUGGUUUCUUAAGUCAGGAGUGAAAGGCUACGGCUUAACCGUAGUAAGCUCUUGAAACUGGGAAACUUGAGUGCAGGAGAGGAAAGUGGAAUUCCUAGUGUAGCGGUGAAAUGCGUAGAUAUUAGGAGGAACACCAGUAGCGAAGGCGGCUUUCUGGACUGUAACUGACACUGAGGCACGAAAGCGUGGGGAGCAAACAGG